GACGAACGCUGGCGGCGUGCCUAAUACAUGCAAGUAGAACGCACAGUUUAUACCGUAGCUUGCUACACCAUAGACUGUGAGUUGCGAACGGGUGAGUAACGCGUAGGUAACCUGCCUGGUAGCGGGGGAUAACUAUUGGAAACGAUAGCUAAUACCGCAUAAUAUUAAUUAUUGCAUGAUAAUUGAUUGAAAGGUGCAAAUGCAUCACUACCAGAUGGACCUGCGUUGUAUUAGCUAGUAGGUGAGGUAACGGCUCACCUAGGCGACGAUACAUAGCCGACCUGAGAGGGUGAUCGACCACACUGGGACUGAGACACGGCCCAGACUCCUACGGGAGGCAGCAGUAGGGAAUCUUCGGCAAUGGACGAAAGUCUGACCGAGCAACGCCGCGUGAGUGAAGAAGGUUUUCGGAUCGUAAAGCUCUGUUGUAAGAGAAGAACGG
rnacentral:rRNA from 1 species